CUGAAGAGGAGACUUAUCUAAACAGGAUUAGCCGAGCCUGUAUGUGACUGAGGGAGUGUGAAAUGCUAGAAGGGUACCGCUGAUCACCUUUUCCAGCCCGAUUCUCCAGCAUUCACAAAAGAGGAUCUUCAGCUGUGUUCUAUGGACCCGGAGAGCCUGGCUUGUGGGCACCUCGUGCCUGGGAGGGGCCGGGAGCCUCCUCAUUAGCACCACGGUCAGCUCACGAGCCUGGAGCGGGUGGAGGGAGAGCUCGCAGCGCCAGCGCUGGAAGGAGGAAGCGCAAGAGCGAACAGGCGGGGGAGGAAAAGGAGAGGAAAGGAAGGAGGCCAGCGGCUCCUGGGCUAGUGCAAGGGAUCUGGAAGCAGUCAGAGCAGCAGGUCAGAGUGGGAACUGUUCACUUGCGCUGGGCAGACUCUAGCAGCUCGCCAGUCACUCUGGGCGGAUGCUGCUGGCGGAGACCGGAUGCCAGUUAGAAGAUAGUGUGAAGACUGAAGAUUUAUGUCAAAUACCAAUACAUUGUUUAAAAUGCAAUGGCCAGAAGACAAGGAAGUAUCACCCGAAAUAUGUGGACGUGGACUCCGGGACUGCUGCUGAUGACUGUGAUCUUUUGGGGUCAGCAAGGGAAUGGACAAAGCCAAGGUUGAAAGCAUGAUGCCUUGAUGGGAGCCAAAAUGUUGGGGAUCGCUGUUCAUAUCAGCAAUACGUCGAGACCCGUGAGUCACACGAAGGAAACACACGUACUGGAGAGCUACGUCACCAUCGCGGAGUAACCAAGGGUCACUGGAGAAUCAUGGCAGC
rnacentral:lncRNA from 1 species